UAGAGUUUGAUCCUGGCUCAGAACGAACGCUGGCGGCGUGGAUAAGACAUGCAAGUGGGACGCUAAUUAAUGGGUAGCAAUAUUCGUUGGUUGGAGUCGCGUAAGGGUGCGUAACACGUGGGUAAUUUGCCGCGAAGCUCGGAAUAACUUGCCGAAAGGUAAGCUAAUACCGAAUGUGACUUGUGCUGGGCAUCCAGUAUCAGUCAAAGCCGGGGAUCGUAAGACCUGGCACUUUGCGAUAAGCCCGCGGCCUAUCAGCUAGUUGGUGAGGUAAUGGCUCACCAAGGCUUAGACGGGUAGCUGGUCUUAGAGGACGACCAGCCACACUGGAACUGAGACACGGUCCAGACACCUACGGGUGGCAGCAGUCGAGAAUUUUUCACAAUGGGCGGAAGCCUGAUGGAGCGACGCCGCGUGGGGGAUGAAUGGCUUCGGCCCGUAAACCCCUGUCAUUCGGGAUCAAAUCUGACAGCCUAACACGUUGUUAGUUGAUAGUACUGAAAGAGGAAGGGACGGCUAACUCUGUGCCAGCAGCCCCGGUCAA
rnacentral:rRNA from 1 species